rnacentral:rRNA from 1 species
AUUGAACGCUGGCGGCAUGCUUUACACAUGCAAGUCGAACGGUAACAGGCCGCAAGGUGCUGACGAGUGGCGAACGGGAGAGUAAUGCAUCGGAACGUGCCCAGUCGUGGGGGAUAACGCAGCGAAAGCUGUGCUAACACCUCAUACCAUCUGUGUAUGAAAGCGGGGGACCUUCGGGCCUCCCGCGAUUGGAGCGGCCGGUGUCAGUUUAGGUGGUUGGUGGGGUAAAGGCUCACCAAGCCAACGAUCUGUAGCUGGUCUGAGAGGACGACCAGCCACACUGGGACUGAGACACGGCCCAGACUCCUACGGGAGGCAGCAGUGGGGAAUUUUGGACAAUGGGCGCAAGCCUGAUCCAGCAAUGCCGCGUGCCGGAAGAAGGCCUUCGGGUUGUAAACUGCUUUUGUACGGAGCGAAAAGGCUCUCUCUAAUACAGGGGGCUCAUGACGGUACCGUAAGAAUAAGCACCGGCUAACUACGUGCCAGCAGCCGCAGUAA